rnacentral:rRNA from 1 species
GCGGUGGAUGAUGUGGAUUAAUUCGAUGCAACGCGAAAACCUUACCUACCCUUGACAUGUCCGGAAUCCCGAAGAGAUUUGGGAGUGCUCGCAAGAGAGCCGGAACACAGGUGCUGCAUGGCUGUCGUCAGCUCGUGUCGUGAGAUGUUGGGUUAAGUCCCGCAACGAGCGCAACCCUUGUCAUUAGUUGCCAUCAUUUGGUUGGGCACUCUAAUGAGACUGCCGGUGACAAACCGGAGGAAGGUGGGGAUGACGUCAAGUCCUCAUGGCCCUUAUGGGUAGGGCUUCACACGUCAUACAAUGGUCGGUACAGAGGGUUGCCAACCCGCGAGGGGGAGCUAAUCCCACAAAGCCGAUCGUAGUCCGGAUCGCAGUCUGCAACUCGACUGCGUGAAGUCGGAAUCGCUAGUAAUCGUGGAUCAGCAUGUCACGGUGAAUACGUUCCCGGGCCUU